CCUACGGGUGGCAGCAGUGAGGAAUAUUGGUCAAUGGACGAGAGUCUGAACCAGCCAAGUAGCGUGAAGGAUGACUGCCCUAUGGGUUGUAAACUUCUUUUAUAUGGGAAUAAAAUGUUCCACGUGUGGGAUUUUGUAUGUACCAUAUGAAUAAGGAUCGGCUAACUCCGUGCCAUCAGCCGCGGUACUACGGAGGAGCCGAGCGUUAUCCGGAUUUAUUGGGGUUAAAGGGAGCGUAGGUGGAUUGUUAAGUCAGUUGUGAAAGUUUGCGGCUCAACCGUAAAAUUGCAGUUGAAACUGGCAGUCUUGAGUACAGUAGAGGUGGGCGGAAUUCGUGGUGUAGCGGUGAAAUGCUUAGAUAUCACGAAGAACCCCGAUUGCGAAGGCAGCUUACUAAACUGUGACUGACAUUGAUGCUCGAAAGUGUGGGUAUCAAACAGGAUUAGAUACCCUGGUAGUC
rnacentral:rRNA from 1 species